AUGAACACAGCUAGUGGAGGUGAUGGAAUUCAAUUUGAGCUAUUUCAAAUCCUGAAAGAUGAUGCUGUGAAAGUGCUGCACUCAAUAUGCCAACAAAUUUGGAAAACUCAGCAGUGGCCUCAGGACCAGAAAAGGUCAGUUUUCAUUCCAUUCCCAAAGAAAGGCAAUGCCAAAGAAUGCUCACACUACCACACAAUUGCACUCAUCUCACAUGCUAGUAAAGUAAUGCUCAAAAUUCUCCAAGCCAGGCUUCAGCAAUACAUGAACUGUGAACUCCCUGAUGUUCAAGCUGGUUUUAGAAAAGGCAGAGGAACCAGAGAUCAAAUUGCCAACAUCCACUGGAUCAUGGAAAAAGCAACAGAGUUCCAGAAAAGCAUCUAUUUCUGCUUUAUUGACUAUGCCAAAGACUUUGACUGUCUGUAUCACAAUAAACUGUGGAAAAUUCUGAAAAAGACAGGAAUACCAGAGCACCUGACCUGCCUCUUGAGAAACCUAUAUGCAGAUCAGGAAGCAACAGUUAGAAGUGGACAUGGAACAACAGACUGGUUCCAAAUAGGAAAAGGAGUACGUCAAGGCUGUAUAUUGUCACCCUGCUUAUUUAACUUAUAUGCAGAGUACAUCAUGAGAAACACAGGACUGGAAGAAACACAAGCUGGAAUCAAGAUUGCUGGGACAAAUAUCAGUAACCUCAGAUAUGCAGAUGACACCAUCAUUAUGGCAGAAAGUGAAGAGGAAAUAAAAUGCCUCUUGAUGAAAGUGAAAGAGAAGAGUGAAAAAGUUGGCUUAAAGCUCAACAUUCAGAAAAUGAAUAUCAUGGCAUCUGCUCCCAUCACUUCAUGGGAAAUAGGUGGGGAAACAGUGGAAACAGUGUCAGACUUGAUUUUGGGGGGCUCCAAAAUCACUGCAGAUGGUGAUAGCAGCCAUGAAAUUAAAAGACGCUUACUCCUUGGAAGGAAAGUUAUGACCAACCUAGAUAGCAUAUUGAAAAGCAGGGACUUGACUUUGCCAACAAAGGUCCAUCUAGUCAAGGCUAUGGUUUUUCCAGUGGUCAUGUAUGGAUGUGAGAGUUGGACUAUAAAGAAAGCUGAGUGCCGAAGAAUUGAUGCUUUUGAACUGUGGUGUUGGAGAAGACUGUUGAGAGUCCCUUGGACUGCAAGGAGAUCCAACCAGUCCAUUCUGAGGGAGAUCAGUCCUGGGUGUUCACUGGAAGGACUGAUGCUGAAGCUGAAACUCCAAUACUUUGGCCACCUGAUGCAAAGAGUUGACUCAUUGGAAAAGACCCUGAUGUUGGGAGGGAUUGGGGGCAGGAGGAGAAGGGGACGACAGAGGAUGAGAUGGCUGGAUGGCAUCACCCACUCAUGGACAUGA
rnacentral:lncRNA from 1 species